UACAGAGGUCUCAAGCGUUGUUCGGAUUCAUUGGGCGUAAAGGGUGCGUAGGCGGCCAACUAAGUCAGACGUGAAAUCCCUCGGCUUAACCGGGGAACUGCGUCUGAUACUGGAUGGCUGGAGUUCGGUAGGGGAGACUGGAAUUCCUGGUGUAGCGGUGAAAUGCGCAGAUAUCAGGAGGAACACCGGUGGCGAAGGCGGGUCUCUGGGCCGAUACUGACGCUGAGGAGCGAAAGCGUGGGGAGCGAACAGG
rnacentral:rRNA from 1 species